AGUCGUGUAUAAAUUGUUGUAUAGGACGGUUAUAUUUUGCUUCUUUCAAUCAUGCCCUACAAUUUAAUUUUAAGCAUAUUGUGCUUUCUCUUAGUGCAAUAUGUUAGUUCUCAGAGAAGAACUCAUCCAGUGUGUAAGGCUGGAUUUGAGUAUGUUUAUAUUAAUUCAAAAGUUGGAUGGGUGGGCAUGGGAUAUGCGUGGACUCAACAAGCCGAAAAAAUACACAAUGUCACUUUGGAAAUGCAUUUUGCCACAGUUCCAUUAAAGGAUACCACAUAUUUGGGAGAAUUGAGGAUUAACCACUUUCAUCGUCUUAGGACACUUAAAGCUACAUCUCGAUGGAAUGUAAAUUAUGAAAUUAAUUUUCCAAUUCAAGAACCUCUACCAGAUGUCAUAAAAACCAUUUUAAAUGACGAUAUUUUAUGUGAUGAUCCAGACACAGCUAAAUCGACGGAAAAGCCAGAACAAGUUAAAUUGUUACUAACUUACAAUGACUACACGAAAAAGCAACAAUACACUGCGAGCUUUUUGAAAAAAGUAUAAAUCACAACAAGCCAUUAAUACAAUGCAAUGAUUGAUGAUUUUGGGGACCACUGAUUUUUCACUUCAGGAGACUUAGAGGAUUUAUUAUCACAUCUCAAUCUACGGAUGGUAGCAAUACAUGCAAUCAACAGGAAGAUGUUAUAUUUACUGAUGUUGUUAAAUUUUAAGAUAGGAUCGUUUCGCUUUAGGAAGAUUACUAUAAUUUUGAUUUAAUUAAUGAACAGAAGAAGAAAUAAUAAUUCUAAAAAAUAUUCCAUUUUAAACAUUAUAAAAUUCUUCCCAUAUUGUAUUAAAAAAAAUAAAAUAAAAUAAUUAAUAUUAAGUAAAA